CCUACGGGUGGCAGCAGUGGGGGAUAUUGCACAAUGGGGGGAACCCUGAUGCAGCGACGCCGCGUGGGUGAAGAAGCGCCUCGGCGCGUAAAGCCCUGUCAGCAGGGAAGAAAAUGACGGUACCUGAAGAAGAAGCCCCGGCUAACUACGUGCCAGCAGCCGCGGUAAUACGUAGGGGGCAAGCGUUAUCCGGAUUUACUGGGUGUAAAGGGGGCGCAGACGGCGAUGCAAGUCUGAUGUGAAAAUCCGGGGCCCAACCCCGGAACUGCAUUGGAAACUGUAUAUCUAGAGUGUCGGAGAGGCAAGUGGAAUUCCUGGUGUAGCGGUGAAAUGCGUAGAUAUCAGGAGGAACACCAGUGGCGAAGGCGGCUUGCUGGACGAUGACUGACGUUGAGGCUCGAAAGCGUGGGGAGCAAACAGGAUUAGAUACCCGUGUAGUC
rnacentral:rRNA from 1 species